rnacentral:rRNA from 1 species
GACAGAGGGUGCAAACGUUGCUCGGAAUCACUGGGCGUAAAGGGCGCGUAGGCGGGAAUGUAAGUCGGGCGUGAAAUCCCUAGGCUCAACCUAGGAACUGCACUCGAAACUGCGUUUCUUGGGUAUCGGAGAGGAAAGCGGAAUUCCUGGUGUAGAGGUGAAAUUCGUAGAUAUCAGGAGGAACACCAGUGGCGAAGGCGGCUUUCUGGACGGUAACUGACGCUGAGGCGCGAAAGCGUGGGGAGCAAACAGG